rnacentral:rRNA from 1 species
GACGAACGCUGGCGGCGUGCUUAACACAUGCAAGUCGAACGGAAAGGCCCUGCUUUUGUGGGGUGCUCGAGUGGCGAACGGGUGAGUAACACGUGAGUAACCUGCCCUUGACUUUGGGAUAACUUCAGGAAACUGGGGCUAAUACCGGAUAGGAGCUCCUGCUGCAUGGUGGGGGUUGGAAAGUUUCGGCGGUUGGGGAUGGACUCGCGGCUUAUCAGCUUGUUGGUGGGGUAGUGGCUUACCAAGGCUUUGACGGGUAGCCGGCCUGAGAGGGUGACCGGCCACAUUGGGACUGAGAUACGGCCCAGACUCCUACGGGAGGCAGCAGUGGGGAAUAUUGCACAAUGGGCGGAAGCCUGAUGCAGCAACGCCGCGUGCGGGAUGACGGCCUUCGGGUUGUAAACCGCUUUCGCCUGUGACGAAGCGUGAGUGACGGUAAUGGGUAAAGAAGCACCGGCUAACUACGUGCCAGCAGCCGCGGUGAUACGUAGGGUGCGAGCGUUGUCCGGAUUUAUUGGGCGUAAAGGGCUCGUAGGUGGUUGAUCGCGUCGGAAGUGUAAUCUUGGGGCUUAACCCUGAGCGUGCUUUCGAUACGGGUUGACUUGAGGAAGGUAGGGGAGAAUGGAAUUCCUGGUGGAGCGGUGGAAUGCGCAGAUAUCAGGAGGAACACCAGUGGCGAAGGCGGUUCUCUGGGCCUUUCCUGACGCUGAGGAGCGAAAGCGUGGGGAGCGAACAGGCUUAGAUACCCUGGUAGUCCACGCUGUAAACGGUGGGUACUAGGUGUGGGGUCCAUUCCACGGGUUCCGUGCCGUAGCUAACGCUUUAAGUACCCCGCCUGGGGAGUACGGCCGCAAGGCUAAAACUCAAAGGAAUUGACGGGGCCCCGCACAAGCGGCGGAGCAUGCGGAUUAAUUCGAUGCAACGCGUAGAACCUUACCUGGGUUUGACAUGGAUCGGGAGUGCUCAGAGAUGGGUGUGCCUCUUUUGGGGUCGGUUCACAGGUGGUGCAUGGCUGUCGUCAGCUCGUGUCGUGAGAUGUUGGGUUAAGUCCCGCAACGAGCGCAACCCUUGUUCACUGUUGCCAGCACGUUAUGGUGGGGACUCAGUGGAGACCGCCGGGGUCAACUCGGAGGAAGGUGGGGAUGACGUCAAGUCAUCAUGCCCCUUAUGUCCAGGGCUUCACGCAUGCUACAAUGGCUGGUACAGAGAGUGGCGAGCCUGUGAGGGUGAGCGAAUCUCGGAAAGCCGGUCUCAGUUCGGAUUGGGGUCUGCAACUCGACCUCAUGAAGUCGGAGUCGCUAGUAAUCGCAGAUCAGCAACGCUGCGGUGAAUACGUUCCCGGGGCUUGUACACACCGCCCGUCAAGUCAUGAAAGUUGGUAACACCCGAAGCCGGUGGCCUAACCGUUGUGGGGGAGCCGUCGAAGGUGGGACUGGUGAUUAGGACUAAGUAGUA